rnacentral:rRNA from 1 species
GGAAUAUUGGACAAUGGGCGCAAGCCUGAUCCAGCCAUGCCGCGGGUUUGAAGAAGGCCUUCGGGUUGUAAAGCACUUUGGUUGGGGAAGAAAAGACCGGGGUUAAUAACCCUGGUUCAUGACGGUACCCAAAGAAUAAGCACCGGCUAACUUCGUGCGAGCAGCCGCGGUAAUACGAAGGGUGCAAGCGUUACUAGGAAUUACUGGGCGUAAAGCGUGCGUAGGCGGUUUGUUAAGUCUGUCGUGAAAGCCCCGGGCUCAAGCUGGGAAUGGCGGUGGAUACUGGCAGGCUAGAGUACGGUAGAGGAUGGUGGAAUUCCCGGUGUAGCAGUGAAAUGCGUAGAGAUCGGGAGGAACAUCUAUGGCGAAGGCAGCCAUCUGGACCAGUACUGACGCUGAGGCACGAAAGCGUGGGGAGCAAAC